UACGUAGGGGGCAAGCGUUAUCCGGAUUUACUGGGUGUAAAGGGAGCGUAGACGGCGCUGCAAGUCCGGAGUGAAAGCCCAUGGCUUAACCAUGGUACUGCUCUGGAAACUGUGGAGCUUGAGUGCGGGAGGGGCUGGCGGAAUUCCUAGUGUAGCGGUGAAAUGCGUAGAUAUUAGGAGGAACACCGGCGGCGAAGGCGGCCUGCUGGACCGUAACUGACGUUGAGGCUCGAAAGCGUGGGGAGCAAACAGG
rnacentral:rRNA from 1 species